rnacentral:lncRNA from 7 species
CUCCUCCACUCGGUUUCAGUUUGUUAGGAAAUUCCUGCAUAAGCCCAGGCUAUAAUUUUAAUGGCCUGCGCUGCUUUCAUUGUUCAAGUUUUCGCUACCUGUGUUCAUGGCCGAAACCAACGGUGAAGAUAAAUUUUGUUGUCAGCUCGUAUCCUGAAACCAGAGUGAAAACCUGCACGAUUUUCACCACGGUUAGGGCUAGUUUCAAAACUUAAAUCCUCGUCCCCUCCGGAAUUCCCAGAGAUUGAGGGCCGGUUUUGUGACCACGGAUUCGAAGGGAAUCCAUGGAGAGAAAAUUCCUUGAGAAAAAUGAACUAAUUUCUCACUCACUCCUAUAAAUUCCGAAAGGGGGUUAAGUUUUCAAACUAGUUCUAAUGACUAGUUUGUGAGAAACAAAACCGGAAGGAAUUGAAGAUGUUAAAAUCUCCUUUUAUUUAUAUUUGAAUAAUAAGAAGAUUUUAGCCCUCAAAUCCUUUCCGGUUUUAACUCCCAUUGGAAACUCAAAUCCUCUCCGGAAUUGACAUAGAAAUGAACUAAUUUCUCUCUCAAUAUACUCCAAUCCUGAAGGAGAUUUGAGUUCCCAAACUAGCCCUAAAGGUACAAACUAGCAACAACAAGAAGGAUCGAUAAAUCACAGAUAGGUGAGUGUCCUGCUGAAUUCGAAAGUUCAGCCCCGUCCACAAAUCAUCAGCUUAAGUACAUAGUGUCACUUGGGUCUUCAGGGUUCAGUUUUUUUUUUGAUGAAACUGGAAGAGCCAAAGCUCCUAUACAGAAUUAAUUAAAAAUAAACGUUC